UUCAAUAAUGAUAAGAUUUAAUU
rnacentral:snRNA from 1 species